rnacentral:rRNA from 1 species
GAUGAACGCUGGCGGCGUGCCUAAUACAUGCAAGUCGAGCGAACAGACGAGGAGCUUGCUCCUCUGACGUUAGCGGCGUACGGGUGAGUAACACGUGGAUCACCUACCUAUAAGACUGGGAUAACUUCGGGAAACCGGCGCUAAUACCGGAUAAUAUAUUGAACCGCAUGGUUCAAUAGUGAAAGACGGUUUUGCUGUCACUUAUCGAUGGAUCCGCGCCGCAUUAGCUAGUUGGUAAGGUAACGGCUUACCAAGGCAACGAUGCGUAGCCGACCGGAGAGGGGGGUCGCCCACCUUGGAACGGGAACACGGACCAGACUCCUACGGGAGGCAGCAGUCGGCAAUGUGCCGCAAUGGUCGAAAGCCUUACGGAGCAAGGCCGCGUGAGUGAUGAAGGUCUUCGGUGAGUAAUACCCUGUUAUGAGGGAAGAACAAAUGUGUAAGUAAAUAUGCACGUAUUGACGGUACCUACACAGAAAGCCACGGCUAACUACGUG